GAUCCCUCUUUUUGGAGUUUUCCUGAAAGCCCAGGACAAGGUUUCUUAUACAGCUAUACACCAAAUUGGUCAGAAGCAAUCAAUAGGGUUCAGGCUAGUCUUGCACUGCCUCUGGGCAUGGGCAUCCAACAUCACGUUGGAUGAUGUUGAACUCCAUUCCUUGAGCAGAACCACUGACUGUCUCCAGCCACAGUUAGUGCGGAGUUACCAUGCCUUCUUGUUUGCUGUUGUCAGCGGUGAGGAAUGUAGAGGCAAUUGAACAGUAAGCAUAAGAAACUACCAGGGAAACGAUGUGUCUGCAGAAGAUGAAGACCUUGGGUUCAUUGGAAAUGCUGCAGACAGAUCUUUUCUCACUUUGACACUGAGGUGCUGCAAAUGGACAGUGCAUCCUCUCCUGCACCUUAGGACAACACAUACUCUUUACUCGGCAGAUGGAGUAAGAGACUCACCCAGGAAAAGCGGUGGUGAAAGUGACUGUUAGACCUCCUGUUGCUGAGUUUCAGAAGAACAGAAUGUAGAAAACAAAGGAUAAAAUUUAAAAGGUCUGAUCACUAAAUAGUAAUGUCUUGACGUGAACUGAUGCAACUGUCCAUCUUUCAAAGAGAUGAGUGCAUUUGAAAUGUAGUUACAGGUUAAUUUUUCAUUUGUUAACAAGCACAAUGAUACAACAGAAAGUUUGAAAAAAUAAUUAAAUGCAACAAUUAGUUAACUGCAUGGAAAAAUAUUGCUAUGUUCUGAGAAUCUGAAAGGACUUAGGAAAAAAUGCAUUGUGGGAAAAUUUCAUAUAACAAAUGCUGUCUUUGUAAACAAAAUAUUGCUGAUAGGAGUACUGACCUCUAAGAAGAUACCAACUGUUGUUCAUCUCUCAUUCGUUUGCUGAUCUAGAUUUAAUAUUGAUGUUAAUCCAGAUCUUGUUGCAAGUGAUGACUGAACCCAACUAUUUGAUCAUCAUUUUAAUGUUGGGGACUUACACCUUGCAGGAAUGUGUUAUUUUACAUCAGCACAUUUCUGUGGAGUGUAGGUCAAGUAUACCACUGGGACAAACAUCAGAACCAGGCAUUUUGUAUAUUGUUGUUUGUCUUACAGCCCAUAGCUCACUUCUGUCCCCUGCAUCAUUAUCUGCUAAAACUUCUGCACUUAGAAAUCUGCUGAUUCUGGGAACAUUACUAAUAGCUCAUGAAGCAGAGAAAAUGCUGCCUCGUUCUGCUGCUUAUACAGUUUUAACAAAGGAACGUAAAGCUUUGUUUCCAAAACAAGCAAAUUCAAACAAAGCUAUACAGAAAAGCAUGGUUAAUCUCUGAUGAGACUUGCACAAAUUUCAGUUGGGUUAGCACAUCACCAGUUACUCAACACUUUCAGUACAACCAUGUAAAAAAUGAACAUUUACUUUUUAAUUAUCAAGAUGGUGAUUAUUUAUUAUUGAGCAUUGUG